rnacentral:tRNA from 1 species
GAGGGUGUAGCUCAGUGGUAGAGUGCAUGCUUAGCACGCAUGAGGUCCUGGGUUCAACCCCCAGUACCUCCA